rnacentral:misc_RNA from 1 species
GGUACACGCAAAUGAAGCGUC